CUACGGAACUCCUACGGGAGGCAGCAGUGGGGAAUAUUGGACAAUGGGCGAAAGCCUGAUCCAGCAAUGCCGCGUGAGUGAUGAAGGCCUUAGGGUUGUAAAGCUCUUUUACCCGGGAAGAUAAUGACUGUACCUGGAGAAUAAGCUCCGGCUAACUCCGUGCCAGCAGCCACGGUAAUACGGAGGGAGCUAGCGUUGUUCGGAAUUACUGGGCGUAAAGCGCACGUAGGCGGCUUUGUGAGUUAGAGGUGAAAGCCUGGGGCUCAACCCCAGAAUUGCCUUUAAGACUGCAUCGCUUGAAUCAUGGAGAGGCGGGUGGAAUUCCGAGUGUAGAGGUGAAAUUCGUAGAUAUUCGGAAGAACACCAGUGGCGAAGGCGGCCCGCUGGACAUGUAUUGACGCUGAGGUGCGAAAGCGUGGGGAGCAAACAGGAUUAGAUACCCGGGUAGUCCUCUUCGA
rnacentral:rRNA from 1 species